GAUGCAGAUUUGGAUUUUCUAUUUCAUAGUUAUUGAAAUCAUAAUGAGAAUGAAGUACUGCCACUAAGGUAAAGGUGCUAACUUGCAAGGAGCUGUUCUCAAAACAUUGGGUGACAAAGAAUUCACUUUUACAAAAAUCGAGCAGGAUAUUAAAGACAGCGAACUAUAGAACAAAUAUGGCGAAGCUGCAUGAAGUCUAUGUUGAAUUUUAUUAUUGAAAAAAAUAUGCUCUUCAGAUUUAAUGUUAGUUUUUAUUGUUUAACAGUAAUUGCAGUUUUUGAAUACCUGUAAAAUAAACCUAAUUCUUAAAUUAA